rnacentral:rRNA from 1 species
UACGAAGGGGGCUAGCGUUGCUCGGAAUGACUGGGCGUAAAGGGCGCGUAGGCGGCUCAUACAGUCAGAUGUGAAAUUCCUGGGCUUAACCUGGGGGCUGAAUUUGAUACGUGUGGGCUUGAGUGGGGAAGAGGGUCGUGGAAUUCCCAGUGUAGAGGUGAAAUUCGUAGAUAUUGGGAAGAACACCGGUGGCGAAGGCGGCGACCUGGUCCUUGACUGACGCUGAGGCGCGAAAGCGUGGGGAGCAAACAGG